ACGCUCGACACCUACGGGAAGCAGCAGUGGGGAAUAUUGCACAAUGGGGGAAACCCUGAUGCAGCAACGCCGCGUGAAGGAAGACGGUUUUCGGAUUGUAAACUUCUGUUCUUAGUGAAGAUAGUGACGGUAGCUAAGGAGCAAGCCACGGCUAACUACGUGACAGCAGCCGCGGUAAUCUGAGCGGGCUGGCAAGGC
rnacentral:rRNA from 1 species